GUAAAAUUAAAAAUUUUUUAUUUCCUAGGUUUGGCAAUUUUGGUACAUUUCAAAUUCAUGUUGUCAUUAGCACCACAGAAGAAAAAAAUUUACUUGGAAGGAAAGGUGGUUACUUUCAAGGAGAAUCAUGAAACUAGAGAUGAUUUACCAUGAACCAUUUGGGAACCAACUUGUUAGCUGCCUUAUAACUAUCAUCCUUCUGAUGAAAUAACAGCAUUACAGCUGUUAGUUACGUCAAGACAUUAAUCUCAAGAUGCAAGUACUGAGCUUUAACGGAUUUCCAUUUACAUAAGCAAGAC